CUUUCCAUGUGUGUAAUUUGUAACUGCUUUAUGAACGGUGCUCCAAGUCACAGUUUUCCUCUUUUCUCCCAGAUUUCACCUGGAUCAUUGUAUUAGCUGUGGUGUCGGUGGUUGCAGUGUCAGUGGUGAUGUUGUAUGUAGUUCAAAUUCAUCGCGAUUGGAUCUCGGCUUUCUUCACUGCUCAUUUCAAACAACAAAACAAGACUGGGGACCCAGAGAAGACCAACACACCACUAAAAUCAAAGCAAGACAUUAAUGAGAACAAAACACCUUUAAUAGAGCACAAGAACGAGCAGCUCAGGCAGCGGACGUCUACAAAGAAAACUCCAAAAAACAUCAGCAGGAAAGACCCUAACCCAUCAGCAGCAAAAAGACUGUUUGGAGAAGAUCAAUCAAUCUAAACUUAACGAGAUGAACAAACUGCAUCACUGGCUGAUUAAACAAAGAGGACUGUGUCAACAACAAAGAUUCCUACCUGAUAUUUCUAGACAACACUAAUAAGAAUUCAAUAAAGAGAGAUCAGUUGGAAGAAAUGAAGAUGAUUUACUGAAACAGAGAAUUUAAUGUACUUGGUGAUUAGACUCUGAUGACCCGUCACGUCAGAGCGGAGGCUUGGAUGGAGCUCUGACUGAGCUGUCUGUGAGGUGGAGACAGGGAGGAGGUGGGCUGAAUGAAUAACAUGUACAACUAAUAAAUAAUAGUUAUUCUGCUUCAUAGACAUUUGUUUGUUAUAUCAUACUGUUAAAAUGUAAUGGGUUAUAAAGUUUUGAUAUUUUUAACAUGGAUUGUAACUGAGUAAAAUAAGCUGUGAAGUGUGUUAAGUUCUUUCUGCAGAUUAAAUGAGGACUGCAGAUUCAGCAGCAGUGAGAUUCACACAGUUUCUGCAUAGAUGUGAUUUAUUUCCAAAUGUAACUCAGUGUGUGCUGCAGAUUUGCAUCUAAUAUACACAGAAUGAGCACAUGAUGGCACUGUUGGUUCAAACUAACUGAGGAAGUUUUGCAACUGUCAAAAGACCAUGUCUUUAAACAUUACUCUAAGAAAAUCAAAUGAUAACGGUGUUUCUGGUUAGUUAUUAUUAUAUAAGUAUAAUGUUUUUAUCUUAUGGAAAAACUCUAAAUAAAUCGAUUU